GAUGAACGCUGGCGGCGUGCCUAACACAUGCAAGUCGAGCGAUUCUCUUCGGAGAAGAGCGGCGGACGGGUGAGUAACGCGUGGGUAACCUGCCCUGUACACACGGAUAACAUACCGAAAGGUAUGCUAAUACGGGAUAACAUAAGAAAUUCGCAUGUUUUUCUUAUCAAAGCUCCGGCGGUACAGGAUGGACCCGCGUCUGAUUAGCUAGUUGGUGAGGUAACGGCUCACCAAGGCGACGAUCAGUAGCCGACCUGAGAGGGUGAUCGGCCACACUGGAACUGAGACACGGUCCAGACUCCUACGGGAGGCAGCAGUGGGGAAUAUUGCACAAUGGGGAAACCCUGAUGCAGCAACGCCGCGUGAGUGAAGAAGCUCUUCGGAGCGUAAAACUCUGUCCUAAGGGAAGAAGCCUGACGGUACCUUAGGAGGAAGCCCCGGCUAACUACGUGCCAGCAGCCGCGGUAAGAGUACUCUAU
rnacentral:rRNA from 1 species